GGGGAAUUUUGGACAAUGGGCGCAAGCCUGAUCCAGCCAUGCCGCGUGUCCGAAGAAGGCCUUCGGGUUGUAAAGGACUUUUGUCAGGGAAGAAAAGGCUGUUGCUAAUAUCAGCGGCUGAUGACGGUACCUGAAGAAUAAGCACCGGCUAACUACGUGCCAGCAGCCGCGGUAAUACGUAGGGUGCGAGCGUUAAUCGGAAUUACUGGGCGUAAAGCGGGCGCAGACGGUUACUUAAGCAGGAUGUGAAAUCCCCGGGCUCAACCCGGGAACUGCGUUCUGAACUGGGUGACUCGAGUGUGUCAGAGGGAGGUAGAAUUCCACGUGUAGCAGUGAAAUGCGUAGAGAUGUGGAGGAAUACCGAUGGCGAAGGCAGCCUCCUGGGACAACACUGACGUUCAUGCCCGAAAGCGUGGGUAGCAAACAGGAUUAGAUACCCUGGUAGUCCACGCCCUAAACGAUGUCAAUUAGCUGUUGGGCAACCUGAUUGCUUGGUAGCGUAGCUAACGCGUGAAAUUGACCGCCUGGGGAGUACGGUCGCAAGAUUA
rnacentral:rRNA from 1 species